AGUGAACGCUGGCGGUAGGCCUAACACAUGCAAGUCGAACGGCAGCACAGUAAGAGCUUGCUCUUACGGGUGGCGAGUGGCGGACGGGUGAGGAAUACAUCGGAAUCUACUUUUUCGUGGGGGAUAACGUAGGGAAACUUACGCUAAUACCGCAUACGACCUACGGGUGAAAGCAGGGGAUCUUCGGACCUUGCGCGAUUGAAUGAGCCGAUGUCGGAUUAGCUAGUUGGCGGGGUAAAGGCCAACCAAGGCGACGAUCCGUAGCUGGUCUGAGAGGAUGAUCAGCCACACUGGAACUGAGCCACGGUCCAGACUCCUACGGGAGGCAGCAGUGGGGAAUAUUGGACAAUGGGCGCAAGCCUGAUCCAGCCAUACCGCGUGGGUGAAGAAGGCCUUCGGGUUGUAAAGCCCUUUUGUUGGGAAAGAAAAGCAGCAGGUUAAUACCCCGCUGUUCUGACGGUACCCAAAGAAUAAGCACCGGCUAACUUCGUG
rnacentral:rRNA from 1 species